AUCCACUCGCCCAAUAAAAGGGCAAGCGCAGUUUGAGCCUCGACCACAGGAAUGACAUAUCAAUUUGUAGAUCUCACCCGGCCCAUUAAUGUUGCGAAUCGAAUGCACCAUAUACUUGGUCUUUUCAAUAUUUAUUGUUAAUUUGUUAUUUUGAAGCCAUUCAAUUACAACAUCAAAACCAUCCUGCGCAGCUGCGAAAACCUCAAACCAUGUAUCACCGACGAAUACUAAUGCAGUAUCAUCAGCAUACGAUAUCAAUUUACCUUGUGAAAAAAGCAAGGAAGAGAGGUUAUUGAUAUAAAUCAAAAACAGUGUAGGACCUAGAAUACUACCCUGUGGAACGCCAUACUCGACCUGAAGACAAUUACUAACAUAAUUAUCGACACGUACAGAUUGUGUACGUUCCGAAAGGUAGCUUUUAAACAACUCUAACUAUUUAUUUAAAUCAAUGUAAUGUAUUAUAACAUGGACGGCAGAGUACUAUUUUACACUUGGGGCACCACGUUAUCACUUUAGAAGCCUUUGUACCAGCAAGUUUUGAAGAUUGUCCCUCUGAAAUGAGCUUAUUGUAGCAGCCUUUGCACCGUUUUUUAUUCGUUUUACGACCUGGUUCCUUGGUCAUUUUCUCGAACGUGUGUUUGUUUUCAGGUAACGACUGCGGGCGUCCAACAUAUGUUUGGUUUUCGUCUCUUACCUUCUACGGCAAUUUUUUUGUACCAAGUUAUCGAUUUUCUUGUAGGACUAUUAUAGCUACUCAACUGAUCCGACACAUCGAUACCUUUUUUCCCUCUAUUAUACUCUAAAACCAUUUCAGGUUUGAGUACUGGUCUUCGCCCGCUACUCAUUUUCAUUUAUUUUCCAUGGCAUGUAGAAAGAAGUAAAACGUCACGUUUAUCGUGCCAUUUUAGCACAGUAAUAUUGCCUUUCUGCAUAGCUGCAAUCUCCCCUUUCUUCAAUUUACUUCCAGUAACUUGUUGCGGAAGGCCUCUUCGCAUUUUGUUCACUGUACCUAACAAAUCAGUACGACGGGUCUUCAAAAAAUUGGCUAGAGGUACACUGGUGUAAAAAUUAUCAGUUAUUAUCAACCUACCUUUAUCUAGCAGGUUUUCAGCAAGGCGUGCGACUAUACUU
rnacentral:misc_RNA from 1 species